UACGUAGGGUGCAAGCGUUAAUCGGAAUUACUGGGCGUAAAGCGUGCGCAGGCGGUUCGCUAAGACAGAUGUGAAAAUCCCCCGGGCUUAACCUGGGAACUGCAUUUGUGACUGGCGGGCUAGAGUAUGGCAGAGGGGGGUAGAAUUCCACGUGUAGCAGUGAAAUGCGUAGAGGUGUGGAGGAAUACCGAUGGCGAAGGCAGCCCCCUGGGCCCAAUACUGACGCUCAUGCACGAAAGCGUGGGGAGCAAACAGG
rnacentral:rRNA from 1 species